AACUCUCCCGACCUCACCCCCACCCCUCUGUCAACCUCCUCUCCCUCAAAAAAAAAAAAAAAACAGAGCACGACCGGGGCCUCCACCGCCGCUCCAUGCCCCCAUCCUCCUCCGCCGCCACACCGCUCCCCGUCGCCGCCCCUAGACGCCCUUGCCUGCGCGCUCCUCGCCGUCCCCACGAAGCCCUCACUGGCACGCUCCGUGAGUCCCUCCCUGCCCCCUCGCCAGAUCUCCCCCCGACCACUAUACUUCUCUCGCUGCACCGGCGGCCCUCCCCAUCACCCUUGUCGCCUCCCACGACGCCCUCACCUAUGCGCGUGUCGCUGCCCCAACGAAGCCCUCGCCAGCACGCUCCUGGCCUCCCUCCCUGCUCCCCCCAUGGCACACCAUAAGCGCACACGAGGGGCGGCAUCAACUUCCCCCCAUGGCAGACCAGGAGCAGCCCCUCCCUCGACUACGCCGCGGCAUUGAGAGCCGGGGCCUUCGGAGCUGGGGGAGCCGAGCUCCGCGGCGGGCGGCGGGGAGGCGCGGGUGAUGUGGGACGACCCCGUGGUAGCGGAGACGGGGGAGGCGCCCAACGCAGUGGCGCAUCCGUUCGACCCCAAGCUGGUGUCCAGCAGCCGCCGGCAAGCAGGUGAUGGCCUCUGCGACGUGUUGUUGUUGUUUCUUGGAGUUCUUGGAGUCUCUAGAGUGCGUUCUUGAGCUUUUGGCCUUUUGGGAACUGCUGGACACUACAACGCCACGGCCACAACAGAGCGAGCCGCACGAAUCGAUUCACCACAGUGAGGCAUAGACCGAAACCUAGCUUGCUUCGUCGAUUCGCGGCGGCGGGGAUGGCGACCGGCGUGGGGCCGUGGGCUUGUGUCGACCGGCGCUGCUGCUGCGCUGCUAGCGGGUGGCCGGUCGGGCGGUCGGCGGUCAUCCUCACAUCCUGUUGGAGGCUUGGAGAUCUCACCUCUGACUCGAGGUCUGAGCCUCUCGGCCUCUCGCCUCUUUAUGUUGAUAACCGGAGUAGUCCUACUGUAAAUUGAGCUAGCUCUAGUGUUAAUGUGUAUGUAUAUUACUGGUUGCUCUUGUUGCGCUGUCAGGUGAAAGCAGUUCUCCUGUAAUCCCGAGUUUCGGUCAUAUGGUUCUGAACUUCUGAUAUUAGCAUAUAUGCUUUCUUUUAAACUGGGUGGAUGUUGGUUGGCAUAUAGUAUGAGUAGUUCUUAUCUUCCUUUUAAAUUCCUUUGAAGUGGUGCUUUGUACUGACUAAUGAUGAUACUAGUUAUUUGCUACUGCUCCUAAUGCUCUAGUAGAAGAGGCUACUGAAGGGCACACCCAAGAACAGGGGGCUGCUCCAGAACAAGAAGCAUGUGCAAGUCUAGUGUAGACAAACAAGACAUCUGGACGAGAAGAAAAAGAACUGCAAGGCUGGUAAGGUCGAGACUCAUCUUGAAUUCCCUGGAUGUGAAAAGGUUAAAUUUGGUGAAGUUGUCAAAGCUCCACCAAAGUUAUCAUUCCCAAAGGUGCCUUCUCUACUCAAAACUUUUUAUGUUAUUAGAUUUGGUCGGAUUCAUAUGAAGGGUUGACUGAACUUUUGAAGGACGCCCCAUAUGCUUCAGUGCUUGUAUGUUUGUCUUAAAUUCUUAUGGUCUGAUCUCUGCCAAUAUGAAUUUGAUUGUUGGAAUUUGUUGUUACCAAAUAGAUCACUUUUGAGCCAUUUAGAAAUGAGAAGUAGACUUCUUGUAAAUGUUAAUUUGGUGUACAGGAUUUGACAAAAAAAUGUUAUAUGAUGAUUGAAUGAUAUUUUUAACAACCAAAGUGAUGUUUGACAUUGAGCUUUCUUAUUCUUGCAGUACACUGUUAAUAGUACUAUUUCGUUGAACUGAUGCAAUUUGCGUACUAACAAGUUUUCACUUUCCCGACACGGGCGUAGAGGUGAUCGACAGGUGAUCGACGCUGACAAGCGCGGCCCGGUGGCGCUGUGCUCUUCAACCAGUUAGAGGUGGACUUCACCGUGAAGCCCGAUGGCCACGUCGCACAGAUGAUCGUCCAGGUGAUUUCGACGCCGGAGGUCGCCGAUGUGGAGGACCUUGACGCCACCGUCCGCGAGAGGGAGUAUUCGUGUCCAGCGGCGUCUGAACUCCUAGCCUUGUGGAUACAUCUAGAGAGGUGGUCUGUUUAGGUUGGUCAUAGGGAAGGUACCCACCUUAUGAUGAUGGUUGUGUGUGUCUGAUGUUAAAUGAAAGCUUGAGAUGGUUCUGUGAGUUGGUUUGGUUUGCACUGGACGUAUUACCAUUCAUGAGUACUACAUCUUAUUUUUA